UACGUAGGGGGCAAGCGUUGUCCGGAUUUAUUGGGCGUAAAGAGCUCGUAGGUGGUUCGGUAAGUCGGAUGUGAAAUCUCCAGGCUCAACCUGGAGGGGUCAUUCGAUACUGCCGUGACUAGAGGUCGGUAGGGGAGUGUGGAAUUCCUGGUGGAGCGGUGAAAUGCGCAGAUAUCAGGAGGAACACCAGUGGCGAAGGCGAGUCUCUGGGAUGAUGCUGACGCUGAGGCGCGAAAGCCAGGGGAGCAAACGGG
rnacentral:rRNA from 1 species